AAGCAAGAAGGCUGCUUGACCCAGCCCUGAGCAUUUGGCAGCAUUCAGGCCCUUCCUCUCUCUCCACUCUGCUCUAUUGCUGGCUCUCCAAAUCGUUCUCUGGGCUUCAGACUCCUCGGAAAGUGGGGGACAGACCCCUGCUAUCAGCGAACCAAGACUUUCUGCCCCCAGGGAGGCCUGGGAGGAGGUGCCGGUGAAUCAGGGGCUCUAAAGGGCCACCCAGCACGCCACCCAUCCCUUUGUGACUUAGGGGCCACGGGGUCCUCUGGCUUCGAGGCUGGUAUUUGAUCCCCUGCCGGCCUGUGCAGACAGCCGAGGGCGUGGACGUGAUGAAAGAACCCAGCGCUCGGGCUGAACAAAGCCGGCAGCGAACGUGCUCAGCCCCUUCAGUUUCUUCGCUGAUGGGUCCAAGCGCGCCCUCUAGCGGCCGCCCCUGGAUCUGCGCCCCCGAGUCUUCACACUCGUGUGCGACUGUUCACCUCAAGCCGGGCCACAGCCUCGGAGCCGUGUGAAGACGGGGCAGGACUGCGUGUCGCUAUCCUCUGAACCCCUUCGCCAGGGCUGUCCUGCAGGCAAGUGUGUGAGUCAGGCUGGACCUACCCCCUGGCGGCUUGGGUCGGGUUCCGUAGUGAGCCCAGCUUCUUAACCCACAAGCGCGCCUACAACUCCUCCCUCCUCCGCCCCCAGCUCUGUUCCCCUUUCCGCCUCAGUUGUCAGGGCCGCCUGCAACCCUGCAUCUCAGGCCGUGGUUUGCAGCGCUGGUUGCUGCUUUCCUUGAAGCCCUUCUUUGCAAAGUUUCUGGGAGCUAAUAUUUCCUGCGUGGAUGAAGCCAAGCCAAUCUGGGUGAGUUGACUGUGGACCUGAAGUUGAAUCUGAUCCAUUCACCUUAACCUAGGUUAUUUUAAAACAUACCACAUCGACUCUUUUCUGUUCCUUGUUACAAAAUUUUAGUAUUGUGGAAUGCUGUGUAGGAAAUUCUGAUCAGAUCAAUCUCUAUGAUCUCCUGGAAGAGCAGUGUAAAUUCCAUCUUUGUUCCCUAUUGAAAAAAAACCCGAACGCUUGAGCACUCAUUGGGUACAUGAAAUUGUUUUAGGUGCUAGGCCCUCCAUUUCCUGUAACCCAAGGGGGGUUCUUUUAGGGCAAUUAGAAGGAAGUAACGUGGCGUUUACUUUUGCACAUAUUCCUUCAAAUUUCUGUUUUCUAUAUUACAAGCUACUGUCCACAGAGGGUCAUAAAUCCCCUGGCGAAGUCAUAUGUUACACCACGUGACUCGCUUUGCAUCUGUUUUGCAGCUGUUCACUUUGCAGUUUUAUUUCGCCUUUUGGAAACCCUAGAGCAGUGCUUCUCAAACAUGCGUGCGCAUACGAAUUGCUCAGGCAUCUUGUUAAAAUGCAGAUUUUGAGUCAGGGGGUCUGGGCAGGGCUGAGAUUCUACCGUUCUAAGGAGAUGCUGGGGGGGCCAAUUCUGCUGCUCUGGACACCACACUUGGAAGAGUAGUAGGAACAAGAGGACUGUGGGAGCUGUCACAGUGUCACGUCAAUGUGCAUGUACUGAGCACCAGGCCGGCUCUGUUGGUUCUGGUCUACUGUUCCCGUCACCCCUUCCCUUUCCCUUUUCUUUUUGAUAUCCUUUACUGUUGUCUUGAAUGGAGAGAAGCUGCGAGAGCAAAGCCAAAAGCCAUGUUGAUACAGGCUCUGUGGGUAGCAUCUUAUGUUGCUUCAGGUCCUCUGGGCUGGAAGAAAACAGAAGGGUCGUGCAGCCAGCUGUCACUGAAACCGGUGUGACCUCUGCAUAUGUGUGUGAGAAGCCAGAAAUAGACCCUAAACCUGUGGUUUCAGUUCCUCAACUUUAUUUUGCUAAAGUGAGAGAAGCAGCAGGAAUCUGCAAGAAGCUAGGAUCUUCUCCCUCCUUGACAUGUGCUGUGAUCGAGGGCGGGGUUUCUCCGCUGUGGCACGCAUGACAUUUACGGCUGGAUCAUUGUUUGCUGUAGGGGAGGGUGAGUGGUCUCUGCGUUGUAGGAUGUUUUCUAGCAUCCUGGGACUCUCCCCACUAGAUGCCAGUUACGACGACAAAAAUAUCUACAGCCUUUCCCAGAUGUCCACUUGGGGGCCAAAAUUGCCCCUGGUUGAGAACCACUGAUCUAGGAUAAGGUAUAAUUUGUCAGUUCUGCUGAAUGUGUAUCUUCUUCAAAGUUAUCUAUCUGCCUUUUCAAAUUGCAUCUUGUUUUCCACUUUCUAGGUGGAAUGUUUCUACGUGGGAUACCACAAAAUGGAAUUUCCAAAUAAGUGAAGCUAAAGCAUAGGGGUUUGUAGUCUGGGCCUGUUCCAACUGACCAGCUCUGGCUACUAGAAACACUAGGUUGAAAAGGGUCUGAGGAUUCUGUAUGGGGUGGGAAAGAACUCUGACUGCCAUAGGGAUGGGCGUGGGGCAGCGGGGCCAUUACGCUUGCCGUGGGUUUGUCUUUUUAAAAAACUAUAAAUUGCCAUCAUUCCUUGCAUCCCAAUAUUCUGUUCGCUCUCAAGGGGGCAGUAGCUGUGGUCUGAUGGAAAGCAUGUUGGUCUUGGGGUCUGAAGAUUUGAGUUGGAAUCUCAGCUAUGAAAUUUACUAAGUAUGACCUUGAAUGAGUGGGUCAUUUAAUCUCCCCAAAUCUCAGUUUCCUCAGCUUGAGAUAUGGGCUGUUCAUCCCUCACUCAUAAGGUGGGUGUGAGGAUUAAAGAAGAUAAAUGAAAGUAUAUAAAUAGUACCUGGUUUAUAGGAGAGCUCAAUAAUACAUGUGUGUUUAUGCAUCCUUUAUUUAUUUAUUCAUCCAAUAAAUAGGUGAAACAAAUUUUGGGCUGGGGAGUAUGGUCCUAUACUGAGUGCUUGGAAAAUUUGAGAAGUUGAAACCAGAGUCCUAAAGGGGCUUGUCCAGAAGGAGAAAAGAAGAGCUGGGAGGAUUGGGCCAGCCAUCCUUUCAAAGUGAAGGUAUAUUUGGAAGUUUGGAAGCCUUCAAACGAGCCCCCACUGGGAGAAUAAUUUGGAAGAGGAAGAGAUAUCUGUAUUUGUAGAGAUGACUCAUUAGGGAAGCCAUAAUGAGUUCUCAGAAGUGUGGUCCUGGAACCAGCAGCACCAGCGUCACCGGGAGCUUGUCAGAAAUGCACUCAGAAAGGCCAGGACCUAAAGCUCACUUGAUUCAUAGGCAAGACACUCAGGCCCUCACUCAGACUUAUGUUCUUUGGCUUGCUUCUUUUUUCUUUGAGGAAGAUUAGCCCUGAGCUAACAUCUGCUUCCAAUCCUCCUCUUUUUGCUGAGGAAGACUGGCCCUGAGCUAACAUCCAUGCCCAUCUUCCUCUACUUUAUAUGUGGGACGCCUACCACGGCGUGGCUUGCUAAGCGGUGCCAUGUCCGCAUCCGGGAUUUGAACCGGUGAGCCCUGGGCCACCGAAGCGGAACGUGUGACCUUAACCGCUGUGCCACCGGGCUGGCCCCAACUUGCUUCUUACAAAGUAUACAUUUUCUAAUCCAUAGCAGAGAAGAAUCAGCGUAUUAGAAGAGGUGAUGUGGAACUAUUGCAAGUUGGAACAAUGAAAGCAAAAAUAAGGUGAAAAUUGGUAAAGAAUGAAAAACAUUCAAAUGUUAAGACUGAACUUGGAUCCUCUGAUGCAGGGCAGACAGCCACAUACCCCUCAAUAAGUCCUGUGGUCAUUACUUAAUAUUCUAAAAAUAGAUACCUGUGAUGUCGGCCUAGAAUCAUCAAGAAAAAUUUAAACCGUGUUUUAUGUUCUCUGUUUAAAAUCAGAGGAUGGUGUAGAUUUCAGAAAGAUUUUUAAGAUAAAAAAAUACACUUCAAAUAAAUACAUUUUAAGUAUUUUGAAGAGUUAGCUUUACUUACUUGGGAAUUUCACUUUGGGGCAUGCUUUCUUCCCCAAGAAAUGGAUCAUGAAGCAUCACUGUAACCUGUCAGAGGUCAGGAGCCCUGCCCCGUACAACCUACUUGAGCACACUGCAAGGACCCUGCAAAGACGCGUUGACUGAUUAAGCUUCUCUGGAGGCAUUGAGAAAAAAUAGAAACUCAAUUGUAUUAUAGUCAUCAUGCUGUUCCCACCUUGCCCCGUUAUUGCUUCUAUCUUCAAAGCCACACAUGUCUGUUCAUUUUCUGUCCUGUUUGCUUCUUUCUUUCUAUGGAGAAAAUGAAAUUAUGCAUGGAGAGCAACCUUGCUGAGAACAUUUGUUUCCCUUCCAGGUUGUCUCUCCAUGGCAGCAACCUCACCUGCUAGCUCCCUGUAGGUACUAAUCAUAAUUACAGAUCUUCAGGAGUUAAGUGAAUUUCACCCCUUGUCACCAGCUAUGAAGGUCAUUGCUUCCGGGAUUGGCUAUUUGUUGAGAAGACUUAUUAGGGAAGCCUUAAUGAAUUCUCAAAGUGUGGUCCCUGGACCAGCCGCAUCAGCAUCACCUGGGAGCUUGUCAGAAAUGCAGAUUUCCAGACCUCACUCAGACCUGCUGAAUUAAAAAACACAGUGGGUGAGGCCCAGCAAUCUUGGUUAACAGCCCUCCAGGUGAUUCUGAUGCAUGGUCAAGUUUGAGAUUCGCUGCCCUAGACCAGAAUACUAACCUUUAUUCAUUUCACCCCUAUGGCACCCCAGGGGGAACAAGUUGUUCUCAAUUCAGAAUAUUUGGGCUAUAAAUCUAGCGAGGUUCCUAAGCUUAGUAGAAAGAACAGGCUGAGAUAAACCUGGGUUUAAAUUCUGGGUCUGCUGCUUUUACUUACAUGUCUUUGAAUGUGUUAUUGGUGCACGUUAAAUAUUAUUAACCAUUUUGAGGCUCAUUUUCCUUAAUGCUUUCUUCAAAAUGCUGCCCCGAAGACAGAAUGAACUAACAUACAUUAAACACCUAGUACCAAGCUUUACACACAAAAAGACUAAAUGUUAGGUCUCUUGCCCUUCCUUAUUUUGUUUAGGCAUCAGAGGUGUUUCCACUUAGAGAAUGUGUUUUCCUAUAAAAACAGCAUUUAGUGCUCAGAACCAAGCGUAUCUGAAACACCAACAUUAGCAUUAUAUUUUGGGUAUGUUACGGGUUAAAUACUAGCCCAACAGGCUUUUGUGUGCUGACCUGGAAACUUAAUUAUCCAUUUAUUUCUUUAUUUCUUUAUUUAGUAAUGCCUUUAAAAAGCACAGUACAAUUUCCUUAUGGGGAAAUAUAUUCCAAGUUCCAAAAAUGUAAUUUACACAUGACUUUUGAGACAUGCUCUGUUCAUUAGAUGUUUCUAGGCAUAUAUUAUAUCUUUAAUAUGAUCCAGAUAGUCAAACUCCAGGAGCCAGAGAUUUAGAAGCUCCAUAAAAUGAGUGCCUUUUCUCAACACUAAUAGUAUUCUUUGUAAUUAAGUAAAACGCAAAGGACAUCACAGUUGUGACUUGGUGCUGACUAUGCUAAGUGGAAAUGAAGAAGUGGGACAUUAGCACAAAGCUGGGCUGACUGAAGCACAGAGGAAAGUGGAAACUCCCUGUUUGAGCUCCUGUUUGGCCAUGAAGUCACACUCAUUGUCUUCAGGAUAAGUCCUCACUGAGCAGCUGUCACCUCAGUCGCCACAUCGUGUGGUGGCUCCAAUGUUAGUGUUCAAAGGCGGAAGCUCCAGCUCCUUGAAAUGAACCAUUUGUAUUUCUGCCUCCCAGGAAAAGCACAGAUUGUGAGAAGCGAUCUCAAUCUUUGUUCAAGGUCGAUGGUAAGUUGUCUUUUCCUUAAAAUUAUUUUGUGAAAAUUUCAGUGGCUGUGUCCCAAGGAGGCUGCUAAUUGAGGCAGUGUUGCCCAGUGGACAACGGUGCCUUCGGGGCAGAAGGUCGGGGUUCUAACCCCAGCCUUACUUGUUACACGUAGUCUGAUCUUUGACAAGUCAUGCGACCUUUCUGAGCCUAAGUUUUCACUUCUGUAGAAGGUAUUAAUAGUGCCCGACCUCACAAAUUCAAAGGACUAUUGUUAUAAGGAACAAAUGAGAUGAUGUUUACAAACAUCUUAACCCUGUCUAUGAUGGACAUGGAAUAUUAAACCAGAAAAAGCCCUAAAAAGGCAGCAGGUGCAACUUUUUUAACCACAGGGGGACCUUUUGAUGGCAGAAGGCACAGGAAGCAAUGACAGAUGGAACAGACUUGAGUAACGGGAGAGAUUUUUCCAGACAACAUUUAACCUAGGAGUUCCUCUUUUCCUACUUCGAGCCAAGGACUCUUUAUCCCUCCCACCCUGACUGGGGUGGUGUUCACAUACCUUUCUCACAGGUGUUUAUAGGAGUGGUUCUGCAGAGGGCAUUUGCAGAAUGGCUUAAUUUAAACACUUCGUAUUGACCACAUUUCAGCAUUUGUGUGGAGCUUUUCAGCUGUCAGUGGGAACAAAUUAACUGGAGCAAUAGAAGCGCCGGUGCAGAAUCUGAGCUUGAAAAGCUGUACACGGUAAAGCCAUGUUGCCCUGUCACUCAGGUUUGCCCUUUACCUGCCAUGGCAGAGAUCUGAAGCUUUAAUCUCUGAUAGGAUAGACCAGAGGGCCUUUGGAUGGGGUACUUCAGUUUAUUUGUGGGUGUGGGCAGUAUAUCACGUCAACACUGUACCAUUUUAAAACAGAGAGACGACGUGACCAUAUGCACGCUACAUUCAGAACGAAGGGACCACUUGCCCUGGUCCUCCAGCGGGCCCACAGAACACUGGCCCAGGGCACUCCCCUCUGGGCAGGAGAUGGAAGGCUGAGAGACUGACCAGCCCAAGAGGAAAGACCCAAAUAUCCUGACAUCAGGGUUUUGCUCCAAAAGGCACCACCCAUACAAUGCUACAGUGAAGUUCAAAGUUGACAAAGCUCGUCAUAAGCUCAGAGCUUUCAAUGAGCUUUUCUUCUUUACUGGUUAUUGUGAGUAGAUGGCCAAAAAGUACUAGAUAUUUGAGAAAAGUCUCUCUCAUGGUAGGUUCGGAUGAAAAAAGCAAAUAAAUAACAGCAACUCAGAGACUGCAUAGACAAGGGAGGGUAAAAAAGAACCUAUUAUUAAAAUCCUCGGAGGGAAAGGAGAGGACACUGCAUCUUGGAUAAAGGAACAAGAGACUAUGAAAAAGAGACAUUCAGAGGCCAAACAUGUGCUUCUGGAAAUUAAAAACUCAAUAAAAGAAAAGGAAAUCAUCUGGAAAGUACAGUAAAAAAAUACACAAAUGGAAACUAGAAUGGGAAUAUAAGGAAAUUAAAGGAUCAGUUCAGGAGAUCCAAUAUCUGAAUAAUGUGAGUCUCCAGAAUGAAAGGACAGAGGGAGCAAAGGAGAUGAAAUCACCAAAAAAUAAUUUAAGAAAAUUUCCCUGAAUUGAAGGAUCUAAGUUGCCAGACUGGAAGGGUCCAUUAAAUGUACAGCAAAAUGGAUAAAAAUAGGCUUACAACAGGCACACAUUGUGAAAAUUCAUGACAUUGGUAACAAAUAAGUUUCUACAAGCUUCCAAAGAGAAAAAAAGAUAAGUCAAAGGGAUUGGAACGAAAAUGGCUUUCGACUUUUUAAGAGCAACAUUGAAAGCAAGAAGAUAGCAGAACAGUGCCUUCAAAGUUGUGAAGGACAAUUAUUCCAUCUUGGAAUUCUAGCCCUAAACUAUCACUUCAGUUUAAGAGUGCGAAAACUACAGGCACACAAAGUCUCAGCAUCUUUAUGUCUCAGGCAACUUUGCUCAAGCUCAUCUCAGGUAGGAUGUACUCUGCUAGAAAUGAGAGAAUGAACAGAGACAGACAUGGGAUACAGGAUUUAGGAUAUCCAGGUAGAAAGGAUGAGAUGAAGUCUCCCGGAGGACGGUGAAAGAAGAUCCUAGACUGAGAGCUGCGCUUGCCGUGGCCAACCGUGCAGACUGGAGGAGUGGACCCGGGAGACAGGGUGAGUGCCGCUGCCUGCAAGAUCUCACUGCCUUUUCUUUCAAACUGAGAACAGCACGUCUGAGGUUCGAGUCACCUUCUUGACUUGGCUUGUCUUGACCACAUGCUGAUGAAAUGCCUGCAUGUACUGCUGCUUAGAUCUGCUGAGGACGUUCAUUUCACCCCACAGAAUUGUUCAGUUUACACUUACUCCUGAGAGCUGGCAAUCAGUCGUGGGUUUAGAAGCAGAAAAUACUCAAUAGUCCAUUUGGAAGGCUGGAUGUCCCGCGCCCGGCCCACACUGCAGUCAUGCCUGGUGCCCCACGAUGGCGAGCUCUGUUUCUGAAGACUCACUGACGAGACCUGGCCCUCCAGCCUUCACCAGAAGUAGCGGAAGUGGAAGCCAGACUGUGACUCAGAGACUGUUCAGCUUUGCUUUUCUUGGGAGCCUUCAUCUAAAAGAGGCCAUAUUGCCUGUUCCUUCCGUGACCAGGCGUGUGCUGAUUACUGAGUCUUUCAAAAUGCAAGAGUAUAUUAUUUAUGGAUACAUGCAUUCGUGCUACAAUUAUUUUUUAAAAAUGCAAAAGAAUGCUUAACAUUAGAGUCAAGAUAGUGGUUAAUUCUCCAGGGAGUGAGUGGAAAGCAGGAUGCAAUUAGGGAGGGACACACAGUGGUCUUUAAAAUGACUUCUAUUUCUUUUUUUUUUUUGAGGAAGAUUAGCCCUGAGCUAACAUCUGCCGCCAAUCCUCCUCUUUUUGCUGAGGAAGCCUGGCCCUGAGCUAACAUCUGUGCCCAUCUUUCUCUACUUUAUAUGUGGGACGCCUACCACAGCAUGGCUUGAUGAGCAGUGCCAUGUCUGCACCUGGAGUAGAUGCUGGAGUUGUGCUGAGCCCCAAAGUGGAAGAUCUAAAGGGGCCUGUUCUUCACGGAUUGAGUCACGGGGAACAUCGAGAAAGAUGAGGCUACUUCUUCACCAACUGCUGUGCUGUGCUGAUGCUUUCGGCCUUAAUUCAGAUAUUACUGGGGGAAAAAGCCCCUAAUUAUAGUCAGUUACUGACUCAUAACCAUACUUUGCUCGUGGUUAUUUCCUCUAAGAAGAAAACAUGUGGUAUUUUUGCCUAAUGGGUGUGUGUGUUUGUAUGUCUGUGUGGUGUUUCUCUCUCCAGAAUGUCUUUACGUGACCUUCAGCCAGAGGGUGGGCCUUCCUAGGAGCUCUUUAAGUCGGCUCCAGCUGUGUACACGGCUGUUGGAUCGCUUUAGCAGACACACCCAGGAUAUGGGUGUGGCUUUGAAAUGCCCAGCUCACAUGCGUGUCAUUUCACGUUACCUUCUGUGGUCAGUAGUAACUGAACAGGAUGCGGAGCUGACCUACUCCUCUGUGCUAGUCCUGACUGUUUAGGUUGCCGGGGACAGGAACCCAGGUCACAGAUUUAAAUCCAGACAGAUUUAUAGGCUCACUUAACGGCAUAGCAUCAGAGGAGAUCCAGGUACAGCUGGAGCCAGACGCUCUUAUAAAAUCAUUGACAGCUGUUUCUAUCUGCUUUCUUCCAUAUUGGCUUCCUUUCCAGGCAGGCUGUUCCCAUUGUGCUGCCUGGAACAGCUACAGCUUGCAUUUUACCUGCUUAGUAAAUCCAGUAUAAAAACACCUCUUGCUCAAUAAUUUCAGCAAAAGUCUGGCGCUCUUAUUGGCCCAGCUAGGGACAUGUGGCCAUCCCUGAAGCGAUCACAUUGGCCACGGUGAUGGAGCGGUCUCACCGACAGCACACGCAUGCCCACCCCUUGUCUCGGGGAGGGAUUCACAUCCACCACGUGACACGGGCUGAGAGCAGAAAGGUAGUUUGCAUUCUAGCAGCUGUUUGUACAGAUAAACUACCCUGGAGUUAAUUUUGAAUAACCAAAUUUUGCAUUUAGUUAUGUUUAGCAUAAAUUUUAGGUCUAAUUUAUGAACUACCGUUAUCUUCUGACCUCGCCAUAUUUUAUGAAUUUCCACACUUAAUGAAGACAGGCUUUAAAAACUUUGAGGUUUCCAAUUCAGACGAGUAAGAAAAUCUCUUUUACUAAAGAAAUUUGACAGCAAUGGAGGCUUUGUGUCUUUAUAUUGAAUGGGGAUAAAAAAACCUCAACAGAAGAAAUCUACUGUUUCUGAUAAAUCUCAGAGCUUAGUUCAGUCUGACCUCGGGUCUUCGGUCCGUUUGACUAAAUCAGCUCACGGUUUGGGUUUAGUUCAAAGGCUUGCAUGUUUAGUCUUCUUACUGGAGGGAUUUCUAACACAGUACCUGGGAAAAGAAAGUGCUUUUGCAUCUAAGAAGUUUCUUCCAAAGUUUCUCCCUUGUUAAAGGGAGACUCGCAUUUCUGAUUUCCUAUUUUGCCUUUUCAGUGGGGGCUUAUGUUAUUCUCUUUCACCAAAAAGCGGACAAGACGUACUUGUUGGUUUCAAAUCCCGCGCUGACUCUGACUUCGCCUCUCUGUGCUUCCGUGUCCUCAUCUGCGGAAACCUCCUGCAUGAUAUUGCUACAUAAACUUCUUAGGACAGGGGCUGAUUAACCCCUUUAGGAGUGUUUGCUGCCAUGAUUGUUAUUUCAUGAGCUCUUGAAGCACAGAACCAUGGGCCUGAUUUGCUUCUGGUUGAGCUGGAAGCUGGGAGGGCAGAGGGCAGAUGCCUGAAGCGAAGCAGCCUAUUAAAAGUAGAAUAGAAAUAGACGAGAGGAAACCCAAGCGCUUUUCUCUUCAGAUAGCUAUCAAACCACGCUUCGCUGCAGACUCUGGGCUUGGUUAUGGCCAGAGAUCAAAGGCUCUCUUAUGUGCAAUGACAUUUCUGAGCACAGGGCUGAGUUAUAAAACUCUUGAAUGGAAGGUUUUGGCACUUGGAACAGCUUGGGAUAGAAAGGCAGGGUUUUCAUAGAGGCGAUUCACGGAACUGCUUAUGCUGGUGGACGAUCCAGACCAUGAUGACUCACAUGUCUCUUUAUUGCUUUGGACCAAGAACUGUUGUUUCCCUUUAAGUCUCUCUGUAGGAGCUGAGCUACAGCCUAGGGCCAAGAUAACUCUUUCAGAAGGACAGUGUGGCUUCAGUGAGUGUGAACAGGAAUAUCCCUUUGUUGGACUCUCGGUUAAGCAUGCUGAACAAGCCAAAUAAGGAUUUUAUUUUUACCAAGGGAUAGAAUUUCUUUUGGAAACUGGCAGCAUCCUUAAUGCUUCUUUAACUUCAAAUAAGCUUUCCUUUUGUCUGUCUGCUAUUUUCAUUUUCUGAAAGCACAGGCUAAAUUUGAUAGUGUGACAAGUAGAGGACAGUAGAACAACGUUGGACUGUUGAAAUCAGUGUGUCUGGGUGGUUGCAUAUGGAACUAGGCAUGGUAGAAGGGGUCAUUUGGAGUCUGGUUUGCCUGAGGUCCUGCUAGGUCUCCUGGGAAAAACGGGGAAGAGGAUUUUUGGACUGAUGGUAAGACCUAGUGUGGUGGGCAGACUUCUAAGAUAGUUCCCACUGUUCCCCACCUCCUGGUACUUACUCCCUUGUGUAAUCUCCUCCUCUUGUAUUCGGGCUGGAUCUGGUGACCUGCUUCUCAGGAAUAGAUCAUGACAAAAGUAACAGACUGCCGCUUCCAUGUUUAUGUUACAAAGACUGUGAUGUCUACCUUGCUAGGACUCUCUCUUGCUGCCACUUUUUCAUUCUCGCUCUUGCCUUCUUGGCUUGCAUGCUUUGAUGGAGCCGGAUGCCUUGUUGGAGAGGCCCACCUGGCAAGGAACUGAGGGUGGCUUCGGGUCAACAUCGUGCAAAGAACUGAGACCCUCAGUCCAAUGCCCCUGAGGAACUGAAUCCUGCCAACAACCAUGCAAGGUGCUGCAAGUGCAUCCUGCCCCGGGUGUAUCUUGAGUUGAUUGCAGCCGUGACCGCCCACCUUGACUUCUGUCUUGUGAGAGGCCCUGAGGCAGAGGACCCAGCUAAGCGGUUCCUGCAUCCCUGCCCUCCAAAACUGUGAGAUAAUUGUGGAUUGUUUAAUCUGCUACAUUUUGGGGUAAUUUUUAACACAGCAAUUGUAAGUAAUAUACCAGGUCAGUAAAAUUUACUAUCUUGAGCAAAGAGGGAAACAAAGCCUGUCUCCAAACUCUGGGGUUUUGGGUAAUUUUAGUGGGUUGGGAACUCACUAUGAAGUAGCAGAUUGUCCUUAAUUCGUGGAGACAGAGGUCCUUGUGGGGUGGUGUUCAUUAUGGUCUCUAAUCCAGUGCCUGGGAGUUAUCCCCACCCUUCGGGAAGGAAUGCUGAACCAGAAGAGACAGGAUUUAUUGGGGAAUCUUAAUUGGACCUGAAGUCACUGGUUGGGAGAAAAAUCAAGAGUAGGAAGUGUUAAGUGUGGGGAGAGAGAGGCAGGUUCAAGUCUUUAUUUGCAGAUAAUAGUGGUUUCAGAAUAAGCUUACCGUGUGGUUGGGAGGAAAAGAAUCACAAAGAAAGGUGAAAUUUCAGGGAGAGGUGCUAUGGAAGCGGCAAAUGGUGAAGGAUUCCUCUGAGCAGCCCAGAAGAAAUGACAUACCAGCGCUAGUGGAGGAGGAAAACCACAUUUCAGGAAAACAAACGAAAACUUAAAUGAAUAAUAAAUUCUCAAUGUGGAAACUCUGAAUAGACGUGGAUAAAGAUAAGGGUAAAAAUAGAUCACACGUCAUCCCACUACGCACAGGGAACCAAUGUUAACAUUUUUGUAUGUUUCUCUUUGUCAGUGCAUAUUUUUAUAUUGUUGAUAUUGUUACCAUAUAUGCAAUUUUUAUUUAAUUAAAAAAUUUAAUUAUGAAAUAAUUCAAACAUGCAAAAAAGUUCAGAAAAUAAUAUGACACCAAAUGCAGUGGCUUAGAUUAAAUUUGCUAGCAAUAGAAUGCCCCUUCACCCCCUUCAAUAAAAUUGGUGUGGACAAGAUAGACAUUUAUUUUUCCCUCAUGUAAAAGAAAUCUGUAGGGACUCAGUCCAGGAUGAGUUGGUAGUUCUACAGCAUCAUCAUUAGGAAUCCAACUUCCAGCUCUCUGCUCCACCAUUCCUGCGAUGCCUUCAUGCUUAUAAGAUGGUUGUUGGAGCUCCAGCAAUUGCAUCCACAUUCUACACCAUAGGAAUGCCUCUUCCUCUUUAAAGAGACCUCUAAGAAGUUUCGUGCAACACUUUCACAUUGUAUUGGCUCAAAUUUAGUCAUGUGGUCACAUCUAAUUGCAUGAUGGGCAGGAAAUUAAGUCUUUCAUUCAAGGUGAUGACAUUGCCAGCUAAGAAAUCUUUGCUACACCAUGGAACCACCAACUGGAUUUAACAUAUAAUACCACUUUGCUACUUUGGAUCUCUUUUUAAAUUUUUUGGAUUAAAAGUGAAGAAUUAAAGGGGCCAGCCCUGUGGUGUAGUGAUUAAGUCCACUGCACUCGGCUUUGGUGGCCUGGGUUCACAGGUUCAGAUCCCAGGCACGGACUUACACCAAUUGUCAAGCCAUGUUGUGGUGGUGACCCACGUGCAAAAUGCAGAAAGAUUGGCACAGAUGUUAGCUCAGGGUGAAGCUUUCUCAGCAAAAAAGAAAAAAAGAAUGAAGAAUUAAACAUAUAGAUAGAUUCCAUUUUCACUGAGGAUGUAAAAAUUGGAAGUGUCAUUCUUAUUUAACAAGAAAAAGUCAGAUAAACUACAAAAUCACAACUUUUCUCAAGCCCAUUAGAAAAUUGAGGUUGGAGGGUGAUUAAGCAGACUGAAAUCUAAGGAAAGACAGGCUCCUCAAAAAAGGGACAGGAUUCCCCCACCGCCCCAACCUUGGCAGAGAGCAUGGCAGGAAGAAACACUGGGUACUGUACUAGUAGGUAAGAAGUGAGCUAAAAUUUUUAAUGAACUUCUAAAGGCUUGAUGUGGGUUACUGUGACAGUGUGGAAAUCUUGGCAUUCCCAGACACAAGGGAAAUUCACACUUAUUAAUAGGUUCUUCACAAUGGACCUCUGCUAAGCGUUCACAAGAAAGACUGAGGCUAGGAGGGACACCAGAAAACGCUUUCCUAGGUGGUUCAGACCUGAAAAAAGAGAUUGCUCUCCACUGCAGGAACCUUUCCCCCUGUGGAACAAUAGCUGUAAGCUGUUGAAGGAAGGACAACAAACCAUUGCCUCUAGCAACACAAGUGAAGACCCAUUGGGGCUGGGGGGAAAGGAAAAGAAAAGAAAUCCUUUAUUCCUCAGGGAGAGAAGUAGAAAACAAUUCUAAGCAAGAAUCCUAUACCAAUCUUAUUAGUGGUCUCCUACUGGUGGGGAAGGGCAGGAAGCUAUCUCUUGCACAAGACCUUCUAAAGAUAUAAAGCAGUUAGGUUGCCAUGGGGAGGAAGGACAGAAUCACUGAAACAGUCACAUCUCUGAGACCCAGGGACACGGGGCCUGCCAGGACAGCAGAAAAUUUCCCCUCUGCUGCCCUCUCACCCCAGCCAGGCUAGCAAGCACUGAGUAACAAGCCACAGCAGCUUACCACUGGGGAACGGACAAGAAUAUGGAAGGAGAUGCCCUGUGUGGUGCAGGCACACGGGGAAGGCUAAAGGCUAAAGGUGGAGCAGAAACGUUGAGAAAAAUCCUCUAGCUUCCAGCCCCUGCACCAGGCACAAGGUAACACCAGAGGAAUUUGGAGCAACUGGUGCAUAGUAAUGAUAGCAACAACAAAACUCAGUAGAGCGAAGGUAACCAUAGCAACAACAAAACUCAGUAUAGUGAAGGUAGCCAUAGCAACGACAAAACUAAAACCCUACUCAAUUCCUGACUAGGUUGACUCAACUCCCCACAGUAAUGACCUACUAAAAGAACUUAUGUGUCCAUUUCUAGGCAUAGAUACUGUUUAUCUCAGUCUUUACUGUUCUACAUACACUGUCUGGCAUUCAAUAAAAAAAUCACGACAUAUACACAUAAGAAGAAACCCCCAACUGUUAAAAGACAAAGAGUGAAUAAAACCAAGCUCAGAGACUGCCCAGACGUUAGAAGUAUCAGGGAAUUUAAAAUAACUAUGAUCAAUAUGUUAAAAGAUGCAGUGGGGGGCUGGCCCUGUCACAUAGUGGUUAAGUUCAGCGUGCUUCACUUUGCUGGCCUGGGUUUGCAGGUUUGGAUCCUGGGCCUGGACCUCCACCACUCAUCAGCCAUGCUGUGGCGGUGACCCACAUACCAAGAAGAGGAAGAAUGGCACGGAUGUUAGCUCAGGACUGAUCUUCCUCAGGAAAAAAAAGAGGCAGAUUGGCAACAAAUGUUAGCUCAGGGCAAAUCUUCCUCAGAAAAAAAAAAUUUAAAAAGAUGUAGUGGAGAUGUGGACAAUAUACAUGAAUAGAUGGGAGAUUUCAGUAGAGAGAUGGAAAAUGUAAGAGAAAGUAAAGUGGAACUGUUAGAAAUAAAAAACAAAGUAACGGAGAGAAAGAAUUCUGUCAAUGAGCCGUUCAGGAGGCUUAUACCGCCAAAGAAAGAAUAAAUAAACCUGAAGACGGGCUAAUAGAAAUUUCCCAAGUCAAAACACAAAGAGAAAACGAAAAACCCAAAAACCCUAGGAGCACUCAAGAGCUGUGAGACAAGACCAAAUGGGCUAACGUGUAUAAUUGAAUCUCAGAAGGAGAAGAGAGAAAGAACAGGGCAGAAGAUACAAAAUUUACUCCUCCCGACCCAUUUCUUUCUCUUCUCAGAGGGAAGAUUUGUCCUGAAGUUAGUAUAUGUUCCUUCCAUCAUGUUUUAAUACUUUUUAGUACACCUGAAUGUGACUGAAAUGAUGUAUGGUAUUGUUUUUGUUUAAAAAAAAUAUAUAAAUGGCAUCAUGUUAUCUUUCUUUGCAAUCUACUUUUUUAAAUUAAAAAUUAAAAUUGGAGGACUGGCUCCUUGGCGUAGUGGUUAAGUUCAUGAACUCUGCUUUGGUGGCCUGGGGUUCACUGGUUCAGAUCCAGGGUGCAGACAUACACAUCACUCAUCAGGCCAUGCUCUGGUGGCACCCCACACAGAAGAACUAGAAGGAUCUACAACUGGAAUAUACAACUGUGUGCUGGGGCUUUGGAGAGGGAAAAACAAAAGAGGAAGAUUGGCAACAGAUGUUAGCUCAGGGCCAACCUUAAAAAAAAAUUAAAAUUGAUAAUUUUAACUAUUAUAUGAUAUAUCAUUAGUUUAUUUAUUCAUUCCCCAAGUGAUGGAAAUAUAGGUUUAUUUUAAUUUUUAAUAUUAUAAACAAUGCUGUAAUAAAUGUAUUUGCACAUGAAUACUUGUGAACAUGUGAGAUUCAUAUUUAUUCCUCAGCAUGUAAUUCUGAGUUAAGGAAAAAGCAAUUUUCAAUAUUACUAAGUAUUGACAAAUUGUUCAUUAGAACGGCUGAAUUGAUUUACACUUCUACUAGCAGUGAAUAAUAAUUUCUUAUUCUUGACAUUUUCACAAAUGCUUGGUAUUAUCAGAUCUUAAUUGUUGUCAAAUUAUGGGUGUAAAAUUCUAUUUUAAUGUUUUAAUUUUCAUUUCCCCUGAAUAUCUUUUGAUAUGUUCAUUGGAUGUUUCUGUUUUUG
ensembl:lncRNA